AGCUCGGGGGAGCGGCUGCUGCGUGAGGAGCACCCCGGGGCACAGACACUGGAGGCGUUCCUGGCGGCUCUGCAGACCCAGUGGAGCUGGAUGCUCCAGCUCUGCUGCUGCAUCGAGACCCACCUGAAGGAGAACACCAACUACUUCCAGUUCUUCAGCGAGGUGCGAGAGACCGAGGAGCUGC